UGAGGAAUAUUGCGCAAUGGGGGAAACCCUGACGCAGCGAUGCCGCGUGAGUGAAGAAGGCCUUCGGGUCGUAAAGCUCUGUCAAACGGGAAGAACAGUCUGGGGACGAAUAAUCUCCGGGCCUGACGGUACCGUUGAAGGAAGCACCGGCUAACUCCGUGCCAGCAGCCGCGGUAAGACGGAGGGUGCGAGCGUUAUUCGGAUUUAUUGGGCGUAAAGAGUGUGUAGGCGGUCGAUCAAGUCUGAUGUGAAAGCCCGGGGCUUAACCUCGGAAGGGCGUUGGAAACUGGUCGACUUGAGUUCGGGAGAGGAAAGCGGAAUUCCGGGUGUAGAGGAGAAAUUCGUAGAUAUCCGGAGGAACACCGGUGGCGAAGGCGGCUUUCUGGACCGAAACUGACGCUGAGACACGAAAGCGUGGGGAGCAAACAGG
rnacentral:rRNA from 1 species